rnacentral:rRNA from 1 species
CCUACGGGAGGCAGCAGUGGGGAAUCUUGCGCAAUGGGCGAAAGCCUGACGCAGCCAUGCCGCGUGAAUGAUGAAGGUCUUAGGAUUGUAAAAUUCUUUCACCGAGGACGAUAAUGACGGUACUCGGAGAAGAAGCCCCGGCUAACUUCGUGCCAGCAGCCGCGGUAAUACGAAGGGGGCUAGCGUUGCUCGGAAUUACUGGGCGUAAAGGGAGCGUAGGCGGAUAGUUUAGUCAGGGGUGAAAGCCCAGGGCUCAACCUUGGAAUUGCCUUUGAUACUGGCUAUCUUGAGUACGGAAGAGGUAUGUGGAACUCCGAGUGUAGAGGUGAAAUUCGUAGAUAUUCGGAAGAACACCAGUGGCGAAGGCGACAUACUGGUCCGUUACUGACGCUGAGGCUCGAAAGCGUGGGGAGCAAACAGGAUUAGAUACCCUGGUAGUCCACGCUGUAAACGAUGAGUGNUAGUUGUCGGCAUGCAUGCAUGUCGGUGACGC